CCUCAUUGACGCGGGCUGGACCUCUCGGGGUUACAGCCUUGCUGAAUUAUUCACCCUUGUCUUUUGCGUACUUCUUGUUUCCUUGGUGGGUUCGCCCACCACUAGGACAAACAUAAACCUUUUGUAAUUGCAAUCAGCGUCAGUAACAAAUUAAUAAUUACAACUUUCAACAACGGAUCUCUUGGUUCUGGCAUCGAUGAAGAACGCAGCGAAAUGCGAUAAGUAGUGUGAAUUGCAGAAUUCAGUGAAUCAUCGAAUCUUUGAACGCACAUUGCGCCCUUUGGUAUUCCAAAGGGCAUGCCUGUUCGAGCGUCAUUUGUACCCUCAAGCUUUGCUUGGUGUUGGGCGUCUUGUCUCUAGCUUUGCUGGAGACUCGCCUUAAAGUAAUUGGCAGCCGGCCUACUGGUUUCGGAGCGCAGCACAAGUCGCACUCUCUAUCAGCAAAGGUCUAGCAUCCAUUAAGCCUUUUUUUCAACUUUUGACCUCGGAUCAGGUAGGGAUACCCGCUGAACUUAAGCAUAUCAAUAAGCCGGAGGAA
rnacentral:rRNA from 1 species